ensembl:lncRNA
CCCGAGGCGCGUGCCCGGCGCCGCGGGGGCCCAACGCGGGCCCUGGUACAGGCGGGGGAGGCAGGCGGCGGAGGGGACGAAGCGCCCGAUCCGCGCCUCUGGAUGGCGACAAAGACGGCCCGCCGCGCCCGCGUCCGGAGCCCCUCUCGGGGAAGACGGGCGGCCAGCGUAAAGUUUGCGGACCGGGCCGAGUGGCCCGCCAGCCCUCGGGGCCCAUAGCCUCCCCUGCCUGCGGUGCUCGGUCCCCGACCUUGCCGGGGGUGGGGGAGCCGGACUUUGUUCCAAGCACAGGAGUCUUCGGACCCUUGCCCCACAUGGGCCUUGUCUUCUCUGCUCGGAGUUGAAUGUUGGCGUCCUUGAACCCCUGGACAGCACAGCCUUGGCCCCGUGCAGUCAGUGGAGUUCCGGCACCCGGAAGGCCGGGCACACGCCCCAGGAGCCCUGUCUUGGCCCCUCUGAAGCACCCCGCUUCUGCCCACCGCCCUGGCCUUGGAAUCGUCCUUCCUGAUUCCGGGGCUCUUCUGGAUUCUGCAUGAGGAAGGGGAGCUGGGCACCCAUGACGUCCCGAUGAAGCCGGCGACCCUUUCUCAGGAGCCACUGGAGGGCCCGGGCACUGACCGAACAGCUGGGAGGCGCCGAGGUGGAAGGUCACUGGUCCCUCCUUCCACCUGAGUCCUGGCUGGGGAGGCCCCAGAGGAACCACAGAGCCUGCCGUGAGGGCGUGAGGAUAUAGCUCUCCCAGGACCAUGCACACGUGCACACAGCGUACACACACAUUCACACCACGCGCACACACGUGUACAUAUAGCAAACACACACAUGCACGCCACACACUUGUACACACAACACACACACACAUGCACACCACACACUUGUACACACACCAUAUACACACAUGCAUAGCACGCAUGCACAUAUGUAUACACACAUGCAUGCCACACACGUGUACAUAUAGCAUAUCACACAUGCAUGCCACACACGCCCUGUGGGGGAACCAAACAGGUAGAGAGGAGGAGGCUCAGGCCAGGGGGUCUGUCUGGUCUCAGGGCUCGGCUCCAUGGUGCCUGGGCCGGGGGCUUGGACAAGGCUGGUGCCGUAAUAUGGUUGUGUCCAGGCUGA